rnacentral:tRNA from 1 species
GGUUCCAUAGUGUAGCAGUUAUCACACCUGUUUUAUGAGCAAAAGGUCCUGGGUUCGAACUCCAGGGGAACCA